AUACGUAGGGAGCAAACGUUGUCCGGAUUUAUUGGGCGUAAAGGGCUCGUAGGCGGUUCAACAAGUCGGUCGUGAAAGCCCGGGGCUCAACCCCGGGACGCCGGUCGAAACUGUUGUGACUUGAGUUCGGUAGAGGUGAGUGGAAUUCUCGGUGUAGCGGUGGAAUGCGCAGAUAUCGAGAGGAACACCAUUAGCGAAGGCGGCUCACUGGGCCGAUACUGACGCUGAGGAGCGAAAGCGUGGGGAGCAAACAGGAUUAGAAACCCUAGUAGUCC
rnacentral:rRNA from 1 species